rnacentral:tRNA from 1 species
GCUCGCAUGGCUUAGUGGUAAAGCGCAUCAGUAAGCAUUUCUGUCUGCACAGAAAGUCGAAUCACAUAACUAACCGCAAAUCAGCUCGUAACUCCUUAUGAAAUGAUGAGAUCCCCGGUUCAAUCCCGGGUGUGAGCA